rnacentral:rRNA from 1 species
AUUGAACGCUGGCGGCAUGCCUUACACAUGCAAGUCGAACGGCAGCACGGGGCAACCUGGUGGCGAGUGGCGAACGGGUGAGUAAUGCAUCGGAACGUACCUUUCAGUGGGGGAUAACGUAGCGAAAGUUACGCUAAUACCGCGUAUUCUGUGAGCAGGAAAGCAGGGGAUCGCAAGACCUUGCGCUGAUUGAGCGGCCGAUGUCAGAUUAGCUAGUUGGUGAGGUAAAGGCUCACCAAGGCGACGAUCUGUAGCGGGUCUGAGAGGAUGUUCAGCCAGACUGGAGCUUAGACCCGGUCCAGACUACGACGGGAGGCAGCAGUGGGGAAUUUUGGACAAUGGGGGCAACCCUGAUCCAGCCAUGCCGCGUGAGUGAAGAAGGCCUUCGGGUUGUAAAGCUCUUUCGGCCGGGAAGAAAUCGCACGGGCUAAUACCCUGUGUGGAUGACGGUACCGGAAUAAGAAGCACCGGCUAACUACGUGCCAGCCGCCGCGGUAACAC